GAUGACUCUGCUCCCUUUCCUGGGGCCCUGAUCUUUUAGUGACAAAGCCCAGCCCUGGGCCCGCUGGUACCAUCAUCCAGCACAUGCCCUCCCAUAGAGGCAGAGCCCGUCUAAAUGCAACUACAGAAGCCCCCAGGACACAGCCAGGCCGCUGCCCAAAGGCCAGGGCGGGCCAUCCAGUCCGGUAUCCUGCUGUCCCCAGGCUCUGACAUCAAAUGAGCAGCAGGGGAUGACUCUUGCCAGGUCCUCCUGCUAGGAGGGACCAGAGCCAUGUCACUGGCUCUGGAGGCAUCUUCCACUUGCCGGCCGGCAUGUCCAUGAAAAAUCAGGAACAAAGGAGACCACUUGCCUCCAGCCUUCCUAGAAGUGUCCGUGAUGGUUACUACUACCAACAUGGCGGAUCUAGAGUCUCCAAGUGCCAAACCUCAGGACAUGUCUGUGAGGAAGUUUCUAAAUUGAGUUAAUUGGCAUGGGAGGCCCACCCUAAAUGAGGGAUCAGCCCACCCCAUGGGCCGGGGUCUUAGGAUAAAUAAAAAGGAGAGAGAAAGCUGA